rnacentral:rRNA from 1 species
AACGCGAAGAACCUUACCAAGGCUUGACAUGGACCGGACCGCCGCAGAGAUGUGGUUUCUCCUUUUGGGGCCGGUUCACAGGUGGUGCAUGGUUGUCGUCAGCUCGUGUCGUGAGAUGUUGGGUUAAGUCCCGCAACGAGCGCAACCCUCGUUCCAUGUUGCCAGCGGGUUAUGCCGGGGACUCAUGGGAGACUGCCGGGGUCAACUCGGAGGAAGGUGGGGACGACGUCAAAUCAUCAUGCCCCUUAUGUCUUGGGCUUCACGCAUGCUACAAUGGCCGGUACAAAGGGUUGCGAUGCUGUGAGGUGGAGCUAAUCCCAAAAAGCCGGUCUCAGUUCGGAUUGAGGUCUGCAACUCGACCUCAUGAAGUCGGAGUCGCUAGUAAUCGCAGAUCAGCAACGCUGCGGUGAAUACGUUCCCGGGCCUUGUACACACCG